rnacentral:rRNA from 1 species
AACGAACGCUGGCGGCAGGCCUAACACAUGCAAGUCGAACGCCCCGCAAGGGAGUGGCAGACGGGUGAGUAACACGUGGGAACGUACCCUUCGGUUCGGGAUAACUCAGGGAAACUUGAGCUAAUACCGGAUACGUCCGAGAGGAGAAAGAUUUAUCGCCGAGGGAUCGGCCCGCGUCUGAUUAGCUUGUUGGUGAGGUAACGGCUCACCAAGGCGACGAUCAGUAGCUGGUCUGAGAGGAUGAUCAGCCACAUU